rnacentral:rRNA from 1 species
UGAGCAAUCUGCCCAUCUCUUUGGAAUAAGCGUUGGAAACGACGUCUAAUGCCGAAUACGACCUCCUUUCGCAUGAUCGGAGGUGGAAAGCUCCGGCGGAGAAGGAUGAGCUCGCGGCCUAUCAGCUAGUUGGUGUGGGUAAUGGCCCACCAAGGCGACGACGGGUAGCCGGCCUCAGAGGGUGACCGGCCACACUGGGACUGAGACACGGCCCAGACUCCUACGGGAGCAG